rnacentral:rRNA from 1 species
GACGAACGCUGGCGGCGUGCUUAACACAUGCAAGUCGAACGGAAAGGCCCUGCGUUUGUGGGGUGCUCGAGUGGCGAACGGGUGAGUAACACGUGAGUAACCUGCCCUUGACUUUGGGAUAACUUCAGGAAACUGGGGCUAAUACCGGAUAGGAGCUCCUGCUGCGUGGUGGGGGUUGGAAAGUUUCGGCGGUUGUGGAUGGACUCGCGGCUUAUCAGCUUGUUGGUGGGGUAGUGGCUUACCAAGGCUUUGACGGGUAGCCGGCCUGAGAGGGUUACCGGCCACAAUGGGACUGAGAGACGCAGCAGAAGCCUACGGGCGGCAGCAGUGGGAAAUAUUGCGGAAUGGGGGGAAGCCUGAUGCGGAAACGCCGCGUGCGGGAUGAUGGCCUUCGGGUUGUAAACCGAUUUCGCAUGUGACGAAGCGUGAGUGACGGUAAUGGGUAAAAAAGCAACGGCUAACUACGUG